rnacentral:rRNA from 1 species
AUUGAACGCUGGCGGCAGGCCUAACACAUGCAAGUCGAGCGGAUGAAGGGAGCUUGCUCCUGGAUUCAGCGGCGGACGGGUGAGUAAUGCCUAGGAAUCUGCCUGGUAGUGGGGGGUAACGUCCGGAAACGGGCGCUAGUACCGCAUACGUCCUGAGGGAGAAAGUGGGGGAUCUUCGGACCUCACGCUAUCAGAUGAGCCUAGGUCGGAUUAGCUAGUUGGUGGGGUAAAGGCCUACCAAGGCGACGAUCCGUAACUGGUCUGAGAGGAUGAUCAGUCACACUGGAACUGAGACACGGUCCAGACUCCUACGGGAGGCAGCAGUGGGGAAUAUUGGACAAUGGGCGAAAGCCUGAUCCAGCCAUGCCGCGUGUGUGAAGAAGGUCUUCGGAUUGUAAAGCACUUUAAGUUGGGAGGAAGGGCAGUAAGUUAAUACCUUGCUGUUUUGACGUUACCAACAGAAUAAGCACCGGCUAACUUCGUG